UGUUGUUAUGGAGUUGGGUUGUUGGUAUAAUUUUUACCUUUAUUUUGGGGUACAACACUGUAUAGCCAUGCUCUCUUGUGUUGUGCCAUGUCGAUAGAGGACUCUAGCUAAUUAAAUUAUUUUGAGCCGUAUCUCUACAGUGUUCUGAGAAAAGAAAAAAGUCUCUUGGCUGUACCAAUCUGGCUGUUGUUUACAAGUUAUGUUUUUGAAUACAAGCUUAUUAGUUCUUUAUUCCAGAAUGAUUAUUCACAUUUUUCAAGCACAAUCUCAAGAGACCCACACCAUGAAAAAUACAACUCUAAGAGCUGAGAUGGAUGGGUUAGCAGAGCUGGUACCCUGUGCUGUCAUCUCAACCUGCGAGGGCGGCAGUGUGGCUGUGGGGUCUCGGCAGGAUGAGGAGUUUCACCUUCACUGCUUCUGGCCACUGACGGACAAAACCCACCCAGUGCACCACACACAGCUCAGGAACUGAGCGGGUUGUUGGAAUGUGGUGUGGUCAAGAGGUGGCUGUGGUCUGGUUGAUGGUUUCCUAGGGACGUUGCCAUCUGGGAACGGUUUGUGGAGAAAUUUGUCUGAUCCCCUCAGAAGUGUGUCGUACCCACUAUCCCUCAGUCUCUCAGGAGUUCACCUGUGGGAGUGGGUGUUGGAAAAGAAUGCCUAAGAUGGGGCAGAGAUCCCCCGAGAGUUCAGCAAAUUGAAUGCUAUGCAGCUUUUAGGGCAUAUUCCCUUCCCAACUGGCUUGGGAUCCAGGGUCAUCAGAUGAACCAAGUGGUGCUUGUUUCUUCCAAGCCGCUGGACAUGAAGACUUGGUUGGGGUUGGUCAUUCCAAUGGAAUGAGUGGAGACAGUCUCUUCCUGUCAGAGGAAUGUUUUCUCUCAAGACUUAAGGAAGCUCAACUUCAUACUGGGACUGCACCCCCCACCCCCGGGUGAAGUGCAAGAGUUUGAUAGCUGGUUCACAGAAGACCCUCAAGAUGACACCUGUGGAGGUAGGAAAUAGUGAAUUAAUUCGUGAGAAAGAAGAAACCACAGGCCACUUGAAUGAGUUUGAGGCCAAAUCUAGAGGAGACACAGUGACUCUCAAUUCCCUGCACAUGAUGGGAAAUGGUGGCAGGACUGGCCAUCCUCUAUUUUAGAGAAAAGCGGAAAGAGAAAGUACGGAGUUCUCUCCACAUCCUAGUGGGUAAAGUGGCUGGCACGCUUGAGAAAGCAACCUCAUUAGUUUGAGAUACUGCUAUGGGGCCAGACUUUAUCAUCCAAACUGCCCCCAUCUUGUCUGGGGGCGAUGAGCUACCAUCAUGCAUGCACUGAAAAUGCUGCAUAACCACUGCACUCAGAGUGUCUGGAAUAGGGCAGAAGCUAAAUGGCAAAUGGGGUAUUGAAUUGCCAAUUACCUCACUUUGGGGAAAAUAAUAGAGUUCAUAUGGCAAAAAGUGCUUUGCAAAGUACUUGGACAGUGUCCUGAGAGGUGGCUGAUGUUUAAUAAAUUCAUUAAAUUAGGAACAAGUCUUGAAACUGCACUGAAGGCUCCCAUUCCCAUUCGAGAGAUGUGUUGGGAGGGGUGGCUCUGACAUCACUGAACGCCAGAGAACCCACUCGUUGUAGAGCAAGGUGAGGUGAAAGCAGGAGAUCCAGAAAGAAGAAACAGAAGAGGGGAUGGAAAAGUAUUUUUCUCACCUGACCUCUAGUUUCCUGCUGGAGUCCUGCUCCUACCCCUCUAUGAUUCGAAGCUACUGAUGUAACAGGAAUGUUAGGCAGGUUUAAUAAGCAACCCCAUUCUCCACGUGGAUGGCAGUUUCAUAUUUAGUGCACCGAGCGAAAUGUUUCUAAGAUAUGCUGAGAGAGAAAAGCACACAAACCCGCUCCUUUGUGACACCCGGUGAGUGACAGAGCCUAUGGGCUGGGCUGCAUGUGCAACUUACUGCCGGCUCAGAAAUGGGCAUUCCCUCUCGGCUGUUGGAUGAGCUCAUCUGUCGCCUGAUGGGUGAGGGCAGCCCACCUAUGUUGCCUGUUUUUGCAGAAGACAAAGUGUGCUAUGACAGAUGCAUCCUGAAUUUUGUCUUUAGAACACAAGAAAAACAAAACUAACUCAUCAAGAAGACAGCAUGACCUUUGAACUCUCAAAAAACAGCAACAAUGGUAAGGAUCCCAGGGUGUGCAGGUAACGCUGGCAGUAACCCCAGGGAUCAAUGAGAGGAUGGGAGGAUGGUGGCUCAUGCCAAUAGAGAGCAGUGAUACCUUCUCAGGGGACUCAAGACUCAUCCCUGAAUUCCGAACACAAGUGAUUUUUUUUUUUUUUGAUCUGCAAAAUUUUAUUAAGCAAUAGCUGGACAACUUUUACAACUUCAAAUCAUCAAGAAAAAAAUAAGGAGAUAAUCCAUCUCAGUAAUAAAGACAGAAAAUAAUUUGGACAAACCACGUCAUUUUGAAUGCAAACCAUUAAUGCCUUCUAGAAUACCUCCCCAUCUAAUACACAAAAUACAUCAGAAGAGAGGCAAAUAAGGGCGAGCUUGUUAGAAUGCAAGUGGGGAUCUCAACAGAUCUUGUUUGGAAAGUAAAACAAAGCAGGAUGCUGAAAUUGAAAAACAAACAAAGCAACACUGGAGGGACUGAGGUGCACAAAGCAGCGGCGCUAUUCCCAAGGUUUGGAUAAGAACAUGCUGGUGGUCUGGUUUGGUCUGGGACCUGUGCACCUGCAUCGUGCACUUACAUUUAAAAAAAAAAAAAAAAAAAGGAAAAAAAGGAAAUGCCAGUAGUAACAAACUCAGAAAUUAUGUCCAAAUUUACAGUACCAAAAUAAUGCAUUUAUAAACAAAUGCAAAAACAAUACCCCUUUGGUAAAUGAUACAGUGCCUUUUUCAGUCAAACGCAUAACCCAUGCUUUUCUACAAUAUGAAAAAAAAUUUAUCUACAACAAACAACAGGAUCUUAGAACCCUACCCCUCCCCUUUAAAAGAACUUGUAAACAGAAAAUAUUGGUAUAAGUUACAAGAAAAUUGCACAAAGCCAUAGAAAUGAAAAAAAAAGUAAGCCACGACCCUUCAGAUUUUCAUCAGCCGGAGCGAAGGAAAUACAGAUGGUGACGAGAUCCGAGUUGUGUGCUAUUACAAAAUCCCAGGAACUCAAACAUUUUUGAUACAUUUUGUCUUAACGAACUUGUUCACAACUAUUGACUUGGCCAGUGGAUAGACCGCCCACACAGGGACACGAUGGGUUCCUUUCAAAACAAUCUUUUCAACUUGAAGAUAGUGUCACACUGUUGAACACACUUAAGAAUUCAAACCAGCCUGGGCAUGUACUCCUUUGUUCUUUUCUCAACCCACUCUAUAGUUUUUGGGGGCAAAUGGUGACUUACUUUCAGGCUGUUCUCUAGGGUGUCCAUGGAGCAGGACACACACAUGGGGAGGUUCCUGUGUCUUACCUGGAAUAGGUGCUUUUGUGUGAUUUUAUGCAAACAGGGUUCCAAAAGCAGUUGUUUCUAGAGGUGAACCUGCUAAAGAUUAUUUUAUGCAUGGGUAUACACUCAUGAGAUAGCUCAUUAAUGCUGGAAAAGAAAGAUUUCUCUAUAAAAGGCAAUUAUUUUGAAACAUACCUUCCAAGUUUGUGGAAUGAGGAAAUGGUCACAUUUUGAGCCCUCAGGCUAUUAAAGCUGGAUGGGAGUUUAGAAUUUUGGUCAGGCUACGUCGUCCCCCUCAUUUCACAGACAAAUAGAGGCUGGCGGAGCAGGUCUGACCCCAGAGUCAGGAGGAUUACAGGAUGCAUAUAUGUGUUUUUGCAUAUCUUCGUGGGACAUGCAACCAGGGGGCAAUGGACAUGGGGGCAAAAGGCUAACCUGCAAAACCCAGAUUCAUACUGCCAUUAGGCCUUGACAUUUUCCUGCUUCCCCGGCACUGAUUUUUCUUAGAAAGGUACAUUCAGUCCAUAUACUGUACACAAAUCUAUGCCUUUGGUUUGAUGAGGUUAGAGUUUAAACAAAUUUAAUAUUGGUUUUAUGUUUUUUUAUGCACUACUUCCCUCAAAAAGGCAUGGAUUCUUUAUGUAGUUGACUAGGCUAAUGCCUUUAGCGGUUCGAUGAGGUAUCUCAAUAUUUGUAAGUUGCUAUUAAUAAGCAUGAAGUGUGUAGAAUUCUGCUGUUUAAAAGUACUGAUUUUAGUAGUAUUUAAUAAAUUGAGACGGAAUGAAAACGAUCUUUAAAAUAAGUGAAACCAUCACUGUCACCUUAAGAGAUACCACAUCACAGGCGCUGCAGACACGUAAGAAUGAGUUGCAUGAGACAGCUUCUUCCUUCGGGCCAGAGUACAGAGUGGGCGGCUGCUGCUCCUCAGGUAUGCACACCUCCUCAGACCAGGCUUCUGUCUCCACGUGCCCAACAGGCCUUCUGGAGAGUGAGCCCAGAAUUUAGAGAGUUCAGUUAUUUGCUACAAACACUGACCUUCUCUUCACACAUAUAUUUGUGCAGUUUUUGUUCCAAGGAUUUACCCUCUAUUUGUUCUUAGGAAGAAAAGUUCUAAAAUGUAAUUUUGCAUGGUCUCUGUAUCUUAAGAACCAACCUUAAUUUGGAAAGCGGACACUUACUGACAAUAAUGCCUUCCUUUGCUGCCAUCCUUCCUCUUCAUUUCAUUCAUAGCACCUUCUAUUUUUAGUUAAAAAUAAAAUGUUCAAAAGAAGGGGCAAUAUUAUUUUAGGAUAUGUCAUCUCAAAGAAAUCUGCUCUGUAUAUAAUCAAUACCAAAGGAUGCAAAAAAAAAAAAAAAAAAAAAAAAAAAA